rnacentral:rRNA from 1 species
UACGUAGGGGGCAAGCGUUGUCCGGAUUCAUUGGGCGUAAAGAGCUCGUAGGCGGCUUGGCAAGUCGGGUGUGAAACCUCCAGCUCAACCUGGAGACGCCACCCGAUACUGCCAUGGCUAGAGUCCGGUAGGGGACCACGGAACUUCCUGGUGUGAUGCGGUGGAAAUGACGCAAGAUAUCAGGAGGAACGAGCCCGGUGGGC